CCUACGGGAGGCAGCAGUGGGGAAUAUUGGACAAUGGGCGAAAGCCUGAUCCAGCCAUGCCGCGUGUGUGAAGAAGGCCUUCGGGUUGUAAAGCACUUUCAGUGGGGAAGAAAGCCUUGGGGCUAAUACCCUCGAGGAAGGACAUCACCCACAGAAGAAGCACCGGCUAACUCCGUGCCAGCAGCCGCGGUAAUACGGAGGGUGCGAGCGUUAAUCGGAAUUACUGGGCGUAAAGCGCGCGUAGGCGGUCUGAUAAGCCGGUUGUGAAAGCCCCGGGCUCAACCUGGGAACGGCAUCCGGAACUGUCAGGCUAGAGUGCAGGAGAGGAAAGUAGAAUUCCCGGUGUAGCGGUGAAAUGCGUAGAGAUCGGGAGGAAUACCAGUGGCGAAGGCGGCCUUCUGGACUGACACUGACGCUGAGGUGCGAAAGCGUGGGUAGCAAACAGGAUUAGAUACCCGGGUAGUC
rnacentral:rRNA from 1 species